UACGUAGGGGCCUAGCGUUGUCCGGAAUUCUUGGGCGUAAAGAGCUCGUAGGCGGUUCGGCAAGUCGGAUGUGAAAUCUCCACGCUUAACGUGAGGGGCCAUUCGAAACUGCUGUGACUCGAGUCCGGUAGGGGAGUGUGGAAUUCCCGGUGUAGCGGUGAAAUGCGCAGAUAUCGGGAGGAACACCAGUAGCGAAGGCGGCACUCUGGGCCGGUACUGACGCUGAGGAGCGAAAGCGUGGGGAGCGAACAGG
rnacentral:rRNA from 1 species